GAGAUAGCUCAGUCGAUGGAGCAUGAGACUCUUAAUCUUAGAGACAUGGGCUUGAUCCCCAUGUUGGGCA